UGUGUUUCGAGUAGUGGUACGUGUGUUUGGUUCUUGUGUUUUUGGAUUGCACCCUGUUGUGGUUUCUUGGGUGUAUAUUCUUUUGACGGUGCAUUUCAUUAUAGCCCGAUAGCAAACACUCCUGUUUCCUGCGCCUGACUCCACACCCACUACAGUAAGCGAUACACCAACACGUUUCUGGUUUACUUCAGAGAGCUUUCAUUUCAUGUCCUUUUUAAGUCUUUAUUUUAAAUCACUCUUGAUCAAUAAUAAUUCACUGUCUCACACAGAUCAAAGUCAUAUAUAAGAGAAACAUGAAAGGCUUCAUAUCAGCAAAGUUAAAUAGCUUAAAGUAAGUUUUGCCCCGGUACUUUUACCUCUAUUCAAAAUCUUUUACAUGUGAUGUUAUUUCAAGCCUUCAUUUCAUGUGCUAGUAAUUUGAAUAUGCAAAUAGUAAAUGUCUCCUUUUAAUUUAGCCGUUUUCUCAACUUUCAGUAUAAUGUACAAUGUAAUGAAUUGAAGGCUGCUAAGCAAUGCUGAAAUACUAACCAUUUAAAUUGUGGCCCACAAUGUCCAAUAUAAUAAAUACAUUUUCAGUAUACGCCCCAGAGACAAGUGUAUCCCUUCGAAAUGAAAAGGACUUGGGGUUGAUGUUAUACAAUGAGUGGAAGUGUUAUUGCAGAUUUUGCUGUUAUGACAACAAUUGUCGAUAA
rnacentral:lncRNA from 1 species